GCGGAGAGCUGCUGUAGGGCUGCGGGAACCGAGACCCUGGGAACUUGCUUGUCACCCGAGCUUCCUGGGUCCCAGAGCGCAGGGCUGGAGUCUGCUGCCCCCUCCCGGCCGGGCCGAUGCGUGCAGCGAGACUCCUGGGUUUGACUGGGAUCCCCAAAUGAACUAAGAGGGUUUUUUGUUUUGUUUUGUUUUGUUUUUUUUUUUACUAGGUUUUUACAAAUUGUUUCUGUUUUCAGUGGAAGAGCGGACGUUCCAAAAUGUCAAGUAGGAUGUCCAAAGAAUUCAAGUUGGUCUGGGUUGAAGCCCGAGUUCCCUUGCAGUUUACUGCCUCUAGGAUCGGACAGAUGUGGGCAUGACAUCAAGAUCCUGGGCUAUGAGACCAGGGCUGCCAGCCUUAGAUGUCCGGGAAGAACGGUACAGAACGCCAAAGCUGGAAAACAUUUUGAGUCUUAGAGUUCAAAGGAACCAGUUCCAGAAAAGAGGCUUCAGUUGACAGGAAACCUUCGCUCUUGGCAGAAGUGUUCAGAAUCCACUUCAAUCCAAAUUCAACUACGGUCUCAAAUGAAUGCAGAUGGAUACUUACAGCCUC